ensembl:lncRNA
UACAAUAAGGCACAAAGAGGUGGUGGCAGCCCUGUCUCUGGGGACAUGCAGGGUUUAGACUGGACAGAGCUCUGAGCAACCUGAUCUAGUCGGUGUCCCUGUUCACUACAGGGAGUUGGACUAGAUAACCUUUAAAGGCCCCUUAAACGAUUUUAGGAUUCUGAGAAAUUGUUACAUAACUUGCCUCGGUGUCUACCAUUUCUUCAGUCUCAGUCAGGACUGAAAACCUGUUAUAUGCCUCAGAACUGUCUGUGUAGCAGUGAUUCCCUUGUCUGUGUUAAACUGAAGUUUAAUAACUCUAUCUUAUUUCUGACAUCAUGCUAUGCACAUUAUGUUUUCUUUUGCAAACUGUCUCUGACAUUCCCAUAGUUAUCUGGUUGGGCAAGCAAAGAGGGAAGCAAAUCCAGCUGUUAAUCAAGAGCCAGGAACUUGUUUUUCACAAUAGCUAGCGUUUUACCUGUACUGCUGUUUGAGGCUUCCAGCUGUAAUGGAGAGGUUGCCUGCUGCUCACGAGGAAGGAGGGGGGAAAUCCCUGCGGUCUUUGAAUAUACUACCAUAGGAAACAGGAGCUUCAUUUUAAGCACAGUCUGUUUGGUUUUCUUAAUUAUCAGAAAGCUCAACAGGUUCAGAGUGCCAUUAUUAGCUAUUUGGCAUAGACACAAGAGAGAGAUUUAUAAAUUGGCAUUAGCAAUUCAUGUAAACAGUAGGAAUAUUGCUGUGACUUCGAGCUCCCUGGAGACAGAGACCCUUUCUUAACCUUUGUUUGUGAGAUUGUAAGCAGAAAUAACACAGUACCCAGACUCGCAUCCAAGCAUCCUUGAAUGUCAGGAAGUUAAAUUCUUCAAGUAGCCCCAAGUGCUAUAUUUAAUACCUUGUGAAUUGGGAAAUUGAUAACCAUUCUAUUUGUAUCCAUUCAUGUUCAAGUUUACAACUGAGGUGUGAUUUUAUCUGCCUGCUCAAAGACACAAAGGCAUAUAUUACUGUGAUCUAUUCCAGUGUGAUCUGGCUGAGACUCUAAGGCUGAAUUUGGCUCUGAGGACAUUGCCAUUUAGUCUUCUACCUAGAGGCAAAAAAAGGGCACUUGAAACAAUAAAUGUUGUUGCAGUAGAUGAAUGCUUCUUUGUGUAUUUGUCUGACAUCCACCCAAAGAUAGCAGCUGCCAGUAGAGAUAGGAAGAAGGGGUGGAUGGUAAUAACUGCUCUUUUGGGGGACAGUAAUGGAUCUUAAAGGACUGGCAUCUGAGGCAUGUGUCUGGCACCCAGCUACCACCAAGAACAGAGUAUAUCAAACCACUCUAAAUUUGUCUUUCAAAGGAUGUUUAUUAUUAAGUUGUGUAUACUUUAAAAUGUUGCAUAGCAGUGCUAUGCAAUAACUAGUUACAAUUCUUAUAAUAGUUUCUGUACGAAGUUCAAAAAGAAAUCCAAGUUUUGUAUUGAAGAACAUUCAAGAACUGACUACUCACGUAAUGCACUACAGCAAUUUUCAUUUUCUCAUAUAUUGCUCUUACUUGCAAAAGUAGACAGAGAUGCUAAACUGUAGGAACAGGGUUCUUUCUCUGAAGCACUGGUUCAAAUUCUUCCCACCAUCCUGGCUCUCAGAUUGGCCAGAGACCACCUCAUGGUGUUAGCUGGAGCCUGCAGGGAGACAGACAGGACAGUUGUCAAGGGUACUGUGUACCUAGUUUUCCUUCCAGUAUAGGCAUAAAAGGGGCAUUGCAAACAUACAGUACAUUUCUUAAAUAUCACUAAUCUACAUAGUCUUUACAGGUAGGUCAGACAUUGGCAGUUGAGAUUAUACAAGUUUUUUAUUCCUGUCUUUGAGCUUUCCAAGGCUCUGCUGAGAUGCAGAAGGAGGAAAAAUGGGCAGUGUUGCACAGUUGCUGAAUCUCAGCAGCAUGUCAGUUCUUUAAUUAAAACAUUAAAAAGUUUUGCAGUUUUUGUAAGGAUUUAACUAUUAAUUAAUUACUUAGGAAAAAUAAAGGAUAUAACAUUGAAAAUUACAGCAAACAUUCCAAGAAUCCAUUAGUCUAUCCCUUAAUUAGUUUAUGGUUUGGGGGGUUUGUUUUUGUUGGCUUUUUCUCUGUCAGUUUGUUUUAGGAAAUUUAUUAUUCAUUGAGAUUGUCUUUUUAGGUCUUACCAUUGCCCUCGUAUGGUAACAGGAUCUUUAAAUAGAAACACAUCUUUAAAGAUCAAAAGUAAUCUGAAAUCUAAACUACUAAAAAGCCACUUUCAGAGUUGUCAAAUUCCACUAAAUGCUUUUGAUAGGAAUGCUAUUUGCACUUAGCAUACAGAACCAAAAUCACACUGUAGCAGCAUGAAAGCACUAGAUAAUGGCUGCUUUUUGCUUUCAUGUUACUGAAGUAUUACUAUGAUCUGGUGUCCCCAUGGAACACCUCCCUUGUAAGGACAGACUGAAAAAGCUGGGACUGUUCAGCCUGGAGAAGAGAAGCCUCUGGGGAGACUUGAUAGCAGCCUUUCAGUGUCUGAAGGGGGGCUGUAAGAAAGAAAAGGACAGACUCUUUAGCAAGGUCUGUGGUGACAGGACAAGGGAAAAUGGUUUAAAACUAAAAGAGUGGAGAUUUAAAUUGGACAUAAGGAAGUUUUUUGCAAUAAGGGUGGUGAGGCUCUGGAACAGGUUACUCAAAGAUGUGGUGGAGGCCCCAUCUUUGGAGACAUUCAAGGACCUGUAAAGGUCCUUUCCAACUUAAAAGAUUUUAUGAUUCAUUACUACUUAGUAAGAAUAUUUUACUUCAUGUUAUUACAUCACUUCAGUAAUACUCCAUAUCUUUUUGUUUGUUUUGCUUUGGUUUAAUCUCUUCUUUGUAACAAACAGAUAAACAUUUAUAAUUUAAAUAGCAGUUUAAUUACAAUCACAUAUAAGGUUAAUUUUGAGUUUUCUGAGUUAAUGUUAUCCUACUUUAGCUGGAAUUAUGGAUUGAUAUUUCUCAGUUUCCAAUGCCCUUCAUUUUUUGGUAUUUCUUUGAGUUUUUUGUUUAUCUCUCAAAAUUCUCCCUGGAUGUUGGAUUCAGUCUCCUAAUUCCACUCAAGAAACAUUUGAUAUCUGAUUUUAGUUUAACCACUCUGUGCAGAUAUUUCUCCCAUUCUGCAUGAUCAGCUUCUACAGCAGGGCUCUCAUAUCAAUUCUGGUUUCCACUGCUUUCAUAUUUCAACUUCUUUGUUAGCACUUCAUUCUGUUUGUGUAUGCUUAAUCAGAAUAACCUUUUAAAUUGUACAGAUUUCAGCUUGUGCCAGUAUUCAGUCUUUCUGCAUUAUGUUCUCUUCUCAGGCAACAUCCAGGCUUGUCAUUUUCCAAUUGUCCAUUCAUUCCAUCAGGACAGUAGGCCUUCCCCAAUGAUCAAAUUGUAAUUUGAAGUCUGUAAAGGUGAAGUGUAAGCCUUUUUGGCUGCAGCUGAGAGGUAUGAAUAGCCUUUUUCCUUAUGUCAGUCUUCAGUUAGCAAUCCAGUAGAGGCCUUGUUGGAGAUGCUCUUCCAGUAUAUUGAAUCUUUUCCAGUUUCCUCACUAUAUGUUUGUGCUAAGUUCAGCUGCUUUCUUACUACACUAUUUCUUACCACUGCAUAUAUGCUUUGCUGCUGCAUCUUACCUUGUCAUAUCCCUUUUGCCAUGUUUCCCUAAGAAGAAUGUUUGAGUGUAAAUACUGAUAAAAAUAACAGUGUUACAGCUUCUGAGUCAUCUGCUCACUUUGGUAUUUUUGAUUUUGCUGUUUAUUAUCUAUGAUGGCUGACAUCGCUUCUCCCCUCAUAUAUGCAGCUAGCUCAUUCCAUGUUGUUCUGGUAUCUGCAGGCCCUAAAACUGUCUGCACUCCAGGCCAUCCCUAUAGCUAUUUAAAUACAUCUGUGUAUUUAAACAUUCAAGGCUUGUUAAUUUCUACUGUGCUGCCAUGCACAAAACGCUAAACAGAGCCUGACAACUUUUUCUGCUUCUAAUAUGUCUCUGCUUUCUUUUGGCUUAUGACCAUCAUAGUGGUAUAAUCAUUCAAAUUCUGGUCUUCCUUCUUAAAUCCAGACAGUGUUACGCAUCCACUCAUAAUAAUCAGUUUCUAGAUCUUUUGAAAGAAUCUAGAAAGAAUUUUGAAAGAAUUUGAAAGAGCCCAAAGAUUUAGUCCCUGCUUAAUACCAUUUCCUCACCUCAUCUAUUUCUUCCAAAAAAAAUAAAAAUGGAUAGAUUUCCUAGGAGCAGAGUGGGAAUGUCCAGCAGGGGACUGGGUUUGUUUUUGUCCUACCUAAGAAUCACAGAAUUAUAGAAUCAUUAAGAUUGGAAAAGGAAACUAAGAUCAUCUAGUCCAACAGUCAACCCAACACCACCGUGCCUUCUGAACCAUGUCCUCAGAGCCUUGGUUCCCCUGUCAAUGGUCUUGUCCUUCACUAAUCAGCUAUAAGAGAAACAAAGUCUCUGUUCAGCUGAUUCACAGGAAGGGAGCAGACACAAAGAUCUGUGAUCACCUAGGGCUAUGAUCAGAGGCUUUUAAAGCAAUCUUUGGGCCUCCAUCCAGUGUCCACCUAGUGUCAGUUUGCCAGACUGCCACAUUUUCUUUCUCAGAUUUUCAGCAGCUGGCAUCCACCACAAAGACUGCCGCCUAUCUACAAGAGAUUAGUACACUGUAAAUGAGAAAUGCUUCAAAAAGUCUUCCAUGCCUUUGUCCUCCUCUAUUAAAACUUAGUCUCACAGACCACAUUGAGAUCAUCUACUGUUAUUUUUCUGUUAGUCUUUGUCUGGCUCUUUAACCUUUGCUGUUAAAGCAUUGGUUUAUGCAAAUAGAGAGAUUUCUUCAUUGAUAAGAUUGUUAUCCAAAUUAUUAGUAAUCUUUGUUUUUUCCCUCUUUCCCUGUUUCAGCUGCACAUUUAAAAUACUGAAAUGCUCAUACAGUUCACAAAUUCUCUAUUGCUUCUUGGCCUGUGCAAUCCUUCAGCUGUCUCCUCAGUAACUCUUAUGUUGUCUUCUGUUUCAACACAUGCACAAGAAAAACUCACAAAGGAUUCCAUCCUGGGAGCUGAGUCAUUCUCUAAAUCAAGAACUGUCAUUCUCUGUACAUAAAAUAUUCCUCUGCAGAGCUUAAGGUAAGUCUUAUUGCGCUGCUUUCCUUCAGGAAUUUAUAUCUGCAUAGAAGAAAAUUGAGCCUCAUGCCAAUAGAUGAGAUAGACUUUAUGGCUUCUCCAUGAUCACACCACAUAUUGCCUUAAAAGUGAAAACAUUGUUUUGAAGAAAAUAGGUGGAAUAGGAAAACAGGUAUUUUUAUCAAGUUAUCUCUACAUCUCCAAGCAAGUAAUACUGUGCCUCAUUAUGUCUAUGUGCAAAACGAGGAAAAAAAAAAAAAAAAAAAAAAAAAACACUAGAAUGACUUUUAGGAGACCAAGGAGAAAAUUCAAUCCCUCUUUCCCCCAGUGUUGCUUGAUUUGCCCCAUCUCCUGGACCAACUUUCAAAUAGAGAUGUUCCUAGAACUUAUCCUGGAAUGCAUUGUUCUUAUGAGGGAAGUCUUUAAAAUACAUUCUAAAGAACGCACUGUGUCUUCCGGAAGUCUUCUGGAGAGCAGAUAAACUGAAGGCAUCCAUCAGAUGUGAAACACAAAUAGUUACACUCCAACUUCCACAACAGAUUCAAUCUAAAAAAGAGAAGAGAGACUUCCUAAAGUCACAGGAAUCGCAAGGAAAAUGCCUUUAUCAUCACAACAAGGCUCAAAAGUCUAAGCAAGCUAAUCCAAGCCCAAAAUAUGUCGUAAUGUGUGGUGAAUAAUCUUGAAUAAGUACAAGAUAAAGACAGACAUAUUGAAAGCACUGUAUGCAUUUUUGUUACCAAUAGGAAAAGAAUGUAAUUUCAACAUGGGUUACACUUUUACUUCUGAAUGUUAUUCUCCCCCAUAUCGUGAACAAGAAUGGAGAUUAAAAAAUAGAAGUCACUCACAAUAUCAUAAAUAAAGUGUGAUAGUUUGUUAAUUAGUGUGUAGUAUAAGUGAAUGCAUGUAAAAAGAACUAGAGAUUAAAAUUCAUCCUUUUGCAGUGUGAAACUGGUGGCAGACUUUGAAAACAAUUUACUUCAGUAAUAAAUAACAAACCAGACAUUACCAUGGCAACAAUAAUAUUGGAGAUGCAGUACUUUAUGAAAUUGUUGGGUUAAAUGAACUUUUGUAAAACUCACUUGGUUUGAAAGUUUCCUCAUUACUUAAUUUUCUCUAAAAAACUUUAAAACAAGUGAAAAUGUGAAUACAGCUACUUUUUUAUACAGGUAAGGCUACAAGCUUCUUAAGGUGUAUGCCUAUAAAUCCAAAUUCUAACACUCACCUCAUUAUUUGUAUUGAUGAGGCAGAAUUCAGCUGGAUGUGGCAGUAGUCCCAGAGGACUUUAUUUCCAG